ensembl:ncRNA ZK287.15 ncRNA
CCAUUCGGGCCAAAGGUUUCGGAUGAUUUUUGGAGCUGAAACUGGGUAAAGUAAGAAACACGUUUAAAAUUGGAACGGAAAAAAUUAUGAAGUAUAACUGAUAGAGUGUGAGAUUAUAAAAUGUAUCAAGCUCAAAAUGUGUUUUCUAAAUAUAAUAAUCCUCAACGAUGACAAAGUGUUUCGCGGCGGCGAGAGGUCCUCCCUGUUGAACGGAGGAGCACGGCGCAUGAGGGUGCUCAGUUUCCGAAUUUGUUUGUUUUUGUCGCCGAUCUGACCCCC